rnacentral:rRNA from 1 species
CUAAUACCGGAUACGAGCUAGGACCGCAUGGUCACUAGCUGGAAAAGAAUUUUUGGUCAAAGGAUGGACUCGCGGCCUAUCAGCUAGUUGGUGAGGUAACGGCCCACCAAGGCGACGACGGGUAGCCGGCCUGAGAGGGUGACCGGCCACACUGGGACUGAGACACGGCCCAGACUCCUACGGGAGGCAGCAGUGGGGAAUAUUGCACAAGUGGGCGAAAGCCUGAUGCAGCAACGCCGCGUGAGGGACGACGGCCUUCGGGUUGUAAACCUCUUUUAGCAGGGAAGAAGCGAAAGUGACGGUACCUGCAGAAAAAGCACCGGCUAACUACGUG